GACAGAGGGUGCAAACGUUGCUCGGAAUCCCUGGGCGUAAAGGGCGCGUAGGCGGGAAGGAAAGUCAGAUGUGAAAGCCCUGGGCUCAACCCAGGAACUGCAUUUGAAACUCCCUUUCUUGAGUGUCGGAGAGGAAAGCGGAAUUCCUGGUGUAGAGGUGAAAUUCGUAGAUAUCAGGAGGAACACCGGUGGCGAAGGCGGCUUUCUGGACGACAACUGACGCUGAGACGCGAAAGCGUGGGGAGCAAACAGG
rnacentral:rRNA from 1 species